rnacentral:lncRNA from 1 species
UAAGCCUGAAUUCCUCCAGGGAAUGCAUGAACUGAUUGAAAACUGUUUACCUUCAAUGCGAUGCAGUCGCUUUGGAUAAUGGGACCUGACAAAUGCAUAAAUGUAAAGAAUCACAUGGACAUAUUGCAGCUCGGGGAAAAUCUGCCCUGUGGAGAACAGUGACAGCCCAAGGACGUGUUCUGAAGGCCUUCAGACAAUUUGGAGAGAAAAAAUGUGCUAAAACCACUGUAAACUCCUCAAACCAGCGGGAUGUGAGCUGAACUGGAUCAAGCUGCUGGAUAAUUCCUCUUUUGGACCAGCUUUUAAAAGCCCAUCCACAAUUAGGAUGGACCCUGUUUUCUCAAGUACAGGUGGUCGUGUUAAUCGGACCGGCAUGCUAAUUGGGAUGCAUCUGUCCUUGUAAUCAAGGGCAGCUACCUGGAUAACUGCAGUAGACAUGCCGGCUAUAGGAAAGUGUUUUGUAAAACAUUUCAUGGGUCACAAGAAAGCAACAGACCAUUGCCCCAACACACCACCUUUGUUCAAUCUGCAGAAGAGCCAAAAAAGCCUUGCACUUUCUUAGUGGCGUCCACUUUUUGGAAAAUCCAACCGUCUUCGCUGUCAGCACACACGAACAGCCACAUUUAUUCAACCUGCUAAAUUAAUCGGUGUUUGGGCUACCAGGAGUAAUCCAAGGCACUAAAAGCCACUGAAUUUUCUAUUUUUCUUUUUUUUUUUUUUUUUGCUCUAUUUUAUUUAUUUGGCCA